rnacentral:rRNA from 1 species
GUUUGAUCCUGGCUCAGGAUGAACGCUGGCUGUGUGCCUAAUACAUGCAUGUCGAACGAAGUACUUGUACUUAGUGGCAAAUGGGUGAGUAACACGUACCUAACUUGCCUUUUAGAUUGGGACAACCACGGGAAACUGUGGCUAAUACCAAAUAUGUAUAAAAAACAUAUGUUUUUUAUAUGAAAGGAAGCGAUUGCUUUGCUAAAAGAUAGGGGUGCGCUACAUUAGCUUGUUGGUAGGGUAAAAGCCUACCAAGGCUAUGAUGUAUAGUGGGAUCGAGAGGUUGAACCACCACACUGGGAUUGAGAUACGGCCCAGACUCCUACGGGAGGCAGCAGUAGGGAAUAUUCCACAAUGAGCGAAAGCUUGAUGGAGCGACACAGCGUGUAGGAUGAAUGCCUUAGGGUUGUAAACUACUGUUAUAAGAGAAGAAUAGCUAAAAAAGGAAAUGUUUUUAGUCUGACGGUAUCUUAUCAGAAAGCAGUUGCAAACUAUGUGCCAGCAGCAGCGGUAAUACAUAGACUGCAAGCGUUAUCCGGAAUUAUUGGGCGUAAAGCAUUCGUAGGUUGUUUAUUAAGUUUGGUGUUAAAAACAAAAGCUCAACUUUUGUUUGCAUUAAAUACUAAUAGACUAGAGUUAUAAAGAGGUUAAUGGAACUCCAUAUGAAGCGGUGGAAUGCGUAGAUAUGUGGAAGAACACCAAUGGCGAAGGCAAUUAACUGGAUAUACACUGACACUGAGGGAUGAAAGCGUGGGGAGCAAACAGGAUUAGAUACCCUGGUAGUCCACGCUGUAAACGAUGUUUGUUAAUCGGUGGUGAAAUCACUGAUACAGCUAACGCAAUAAACAAACCGCCUGAGUAGUAUGCUCGCAAGAGUGAAACUUAAAGGAAUUGACGGGGAGCCGCACAAGCGGUGGAGCAUGUGGUUUAAUUCGAAGCUACGCGAAGCACCUUACCAACAUUUGACAUCUUUUGCAAAGGCACAGAGAUAUGCUGGAGGAUAACAAAAAGACAGGUGGUGCAUGGCCGUCGUCAGCUCGUGCCGUGAGGUGUUGGGUUAAGUCCUAUAACGAGCGCAACCCUUUUCUUUAGUUACUAACAUUUAGUUGAGCACUCUAAAGAUACUGCCUAGGUAACUAGGAGGAAGGAGGGGAUGAGGUAGGUCAUCAUGCCUCUUACAUGUUGGGUUACACACGUGCUACAAUGGCAAAUACAAAGAGAAGCAAAAUCGUGAGGUGGAGCAAAUCUGUAAAAUUUGUCUCAGUUCGGAUUGGAGUCUGCAACUCGACUCCAUGAAGUAGGAAUCGCUAGUAAUCCUAGAUCAUCAAUGCUAGGGUGAAUACGUUCUCGGCUCUUGUACACACCGCCCGUCAAACCAUGGGAGUUGGUAAUACCCAAAGCUAGUUAGUUAACCAUUUAUUUGGAGGCAACUAUCUAAGGUAGGAUCAAUGACUGGGGUUAAGUCGUAACAAGGUAACC